rnacentral:misc_RNA from 1 species
GAUGAAGAACGUAGCGAAAUGCGAUAAGUAGUGUGAAUUGCAGAAUUCAGUGAAUCAUCGAAUCUUUGAACGCACAUUGCGCCCUUUGGUAUUCCUUAGGGCAUGCCUGUUCGAGCGUCAUUUGUACCUUCAAGCUUUGCUUGGUGUUGGGUGUUUGUCUCGCCUUUGCGUGUAGACUCGCCUUAAAAUAAUUGGCAGCCGGCGUAUUGAUUUCGGAGCGCAGUACAUCUCGCGCUUUGCACUCAUAACGACAGCGUCCAAAAGUACAUUUUACACUCUUGACCUCGGAUCAGGUAGGGAUACCCGCUGAACUUAAGCAUAUCAAUAAGCGGAGGA